ACGGGCGUAGCUCAACUGGCAGAGCAGCGGUCUCCAAAACCGCAGGUUGGGGGUUCGAGUCCCUCCGCCCGUGCCC
rnacentral:tRNA from 1 species